UACAGAGGGUCUCAAGUCGUUGUUCGAUCAUUGGGCGUAAAGGGUGCGUAGGCGGACAGUUAAGUUGGGGGUGAAAGCCCGGGGCUCAACCUCGGAAUUGCCUUCAAUACUGGCUGUCUUGAGUGUGAGAGAGGUGUGUGGAACUCCGAGUGUAGAGGUGAAAUUCGUAGAUAUUCGCAAGAACACCAGUGGCGAAGGCGGCUCACUGGCCCGGUACUGACGCUGAGGUGCGAAAGCGUGGGGAGCAAACAGGG
rnacentral:rRNA from 1 species